CGGCUAUCUCCAAGGUAGGUCGAGCCUGGUGGUGAAACGGGUGCUCAAAUUUUUGUCGAGAGCUUGCAAAAGCAUUCUUUGCCUGGUAGAAGAAAAGAUUUGCCGAUAAAAAUGGUGAGCUGUACCACCUGAAUUCCUCUUUGUCUCUCUUAUCGCCUUCACAAAUGUUGGGACCUUGUAUUUUUUUGGCGGUGGAGGGGGGGCAUUCUUCGACUUGAUUGCUGGCUGCUCUUUGGCAAGGGCGUCACAUUGAACUCUUUUGCUCGAGGAGACACUGGAGUUGAGGGGGAUGACGGGUGGUUUAUAAGGCGCGUCUGGAAAAACGGACUGAGUGAAGAAGCUGCGGAAAGGACAGGAUGCUUGGCUGUGUAUGCUUGGUUGGUUGCUUUUUUGAGGCUUUUUUUUUUAUGUGUGCCGGGUCAAAAUAACAACCGGUGUUGUCAAGAAAUGUAUGGGGGCAGGCAUUUGGAAGGGUCAGUUCGUGAGCCGUAGACACUACACAGAUCUCACCGGCAAUAUGUGUCUAGAUGAGCUACGAACAGAGUACUGAACAGCACCAUUUUUCGGUAAUCGUACACUAUGGGCUAUUUUUUGUACCUUACGCAGUGCAGCGCGCACCUGCCGCGAGUGUAAAAGGAUAUGGAAUGAAUCCGUGAGUAACUGCUGCUGCGAAUGCAUCGACAUUCGUGAGAGCUGUUACCAUGAGGUGUGACUGAAAAUAGCCGCGGAGAUACAUUUCCGGUCACAGUUCACACCAGAAUGUCUG
rnacentral:lncRNA from 1 species